AUGGUGGUUUUUUUCCCCACUAAUUAAUUCUAACAAGAUCCAGGAAGUUCUGAAGAAAAAUUAAUUGUGGCAUUUAUGUAAUCAUGUAAAAUGGGGGAUUUUCGAAGAGAAAAUGCGUGAUAUUUGAUUAAAUGGAGGGAUUUCUUAAGAGAAAAUGCAUGAUUUUCGGUUAAAUGGGGGAUUUUUGAAGAGAAAAUGUGUGGUUUUUAGGUUAAAUGCAGGAUUUUUGUAGAGAAAAUGCAUGAUUUUUGGUUAAAUGGGGGAGUUUUGAAGAAAAAAUGCAUGAUUUUCAGGGUAAAUGGGGGAUUUUCAAAGAGAAAAUGCGUGAUUUCUGGGUUAAAUGAGGGAUUUUCAAAAAGAAAAUGAGUGAUUUUUCAUGUUAAAUGGGGGAUUUUCAAACAGAAAAUGCAUGAUUUUUGUUUACAUAUGGGAUUUUUGAAGAGAAAAUGCAUGAUUUUUGGUUGCAUGGCAGAUUUUUGAAGAGAGAAUUUUCAGUUAAAUGGAGGAUUUUCUAAGAGAAAAUGCGUGAUUUUCAGUUGAACGGAGGAUUUUUUAUGAGAAUACGCGUGUUUUAUAGGUUAAAUGUGGGAUUUUUGAAGGGAAAAUGCGUGGUUUUCGGUUAAAUGGUGGAUUUUCGAAGAGAAAAUAUGCAUUUUCCAGUUAAAUGGAGGAUUUUUGUAGAGAUAAUGCCUGAUUUUUGGGCUAAAUGGAGGAUUUUUGGAGAGAGUGCGCGAUUUUUGGGUUAAAUGGGGGAUUUUCAAAAUCAAACUGCAUGCUUUUGCUGUUUAAUGGGGGAUUUUCAUAGAGAAAAUGUGUGGUUUGCUUGUUAAAUGUGGGAUUUUUUUCAAGAGAAAGUGCGUGAUUUUCAGUUAAAUGGGGUAAUUUUUAAGAGAAUAUGCAUAUUUUUUGGUUUAAAUGGGGGAUUUUUGAAGAGAAAAUGUGAUUUUCAGUUAAAUGGGAUAUUUGGAGAACAAGUGUGUGAUUUUCUUGUUAAAUAGGGGAUUUCUGUAAUGAAAAUGUGU
ensembl:lncRNA